CACACACACACACACACACACAGCGCGCGCCUCGCAGAGUUCUCGCGCUCUCCGACGGUCACCCGGCUGCGUAACGGCGCGCACACACACACGCGCGCACACACAUACACGCACACGCACACACACAGACACACACACACUUUCCUCGCUUCUUUAUUUCCAAAAUAAUUCUAAGAACAACGACAACAACAAUAACAAAAGAAACCUCUUUCUCUCUAUGCUGUAUAUUUCCUUUACUUUUCUCGUCUCCGGUCGUUCCGACAUUACACACACACACACACACACACACACACACACACACACACACACACACACACACACACACACACACACACACACACACACACAGAGAGAGAGAGAGAGAGAGAGAGAGAGAGAGAGAGAGAGAGAGAGAGCAGGCUACAGGAGCUCUGUGUUUGGACUAAAUCAAGCUUAAUGCUCGCUGUUUCUGGCUAAGAGUGAAGAAAGAUAACACUCCUCUGGAUUUUCUCACGGAUUUCUUUCCCUUCCUGCGCGCUUGGUUCCCAAGGCUUCACAGUCUUCUUUCAGGAUAUUUAAUGUGACCAAGUGCAACAGGAAAGGGAAAUUCAGAGGAGUUUUAUCCUUUCGUUCCUCUAGCCGGAGCAGCUCGGCCACGUCAUCCUCCUUCAAACCGGUGGGCUCAGUAUUAUUCACACCCCUUUGGGGGCAGAUGUAGUGUGAGACGAGUGCACGUCUAAAGGUUUAACAUCGCCAUGACACAAGCGUGACCCGACCAGAAGAGUCUCCGCUCUGGUUCUCGACCCUGGGAUGUAAACUGCAGAAUGAACCUUUCACACAGGUCUCAGGGGAGAAAAUGUUCCAUUGACCUUCACUACUGCAACCUCAAGGUAGAAAUCUAAAUCUUUAUCCAAUUCUACUUUACUUCCUUUGUCCUGGUCGGGAUAUCAGC